rnacentral:lncRNA from 1 species
CUCGCCCUGGGCUGACCGCAGCUGCCGCGAGCUCGGGCCAAGGCGCAGGCGUGUCCCCCUGGUGGCCCGCGCGCUCACUGCAGCCUGUGCCCAACCCCGCGUCUGCAUCUGGAGAUGCGGACUUGGACGUGGACUUGGACUUGGACUUGGAUUUGAGCUUGGCUCUUCGCAGCCCGGACUUCGGAGGAGUGGGGCGGGGCGGGGGAGGGGCACCACGGGUUUUUUGUUUUUUGUUUGUUUGUUUUUAAUCUCAGCCUUGGCGUGAGCUGGGGCCUUCCUCUCUUCUCCAGCCUCUCCCUUUCACUCUUCACCCAGCAUCCUGCCCCCCUGUCCAAAAACAGCAGGACAUCAGACCCAUCCCAUCCCACCACACUCACUCACCAGCUCUGGGGAAAGCUACUGUGAACUAGGAGCAGGAUUCCUGGGUUCUAAUCGCAGGUCCCUGAGGCUGGUUCUACUGUAUCCCCAUCACCUCCACAACUCCACUCACCCCUGACGGCUCCAUCCACCUCACCAGUUGGAAGGCUUGUGGUUUCAGAGAGGAGCAAUGCUGGUCAGCGCUGCCCAGACUCCAGUGUUUACAGA